UAGGGAAUCUUCGGCAAUGGGGGGAACCCUGACCGAGCAACGCCGCGUGAGUGAAGAAGGUUUUCGGAUCGUAAAGCUCUGUUGUUAAGGAAGAACGAGUGUGAGAAUGGAAGGUUCAUACUGUGACGGUACUUAACCAGAAAGGGACGGCUAACUACGUGCCAGCAGCCGCGGUAAUACGUAGGUCCCGAGCGUUGUCCGGAUUUAUUGGGCGUAAAGCGAGCGCAGGCGGUUAGAUAAGUCUGAAGUUAAAGGCAGUGGCUCAACCAUUGUAGGCUUUGGAAACUGUUUAACUUGAGUGCAGAAGGGGAGAGUGGAAUUCCAUGUGUAGCGGUGAAAUGCGUAGAUAUAUGGAGGAACACCGGUGGCGAAAGCGGCUCUCUGGUCUGUAACUGACGCUGAGGCUCGAAAGCGUGGGUAGCAAACAGG
rnacentral:rRNA from 1 species